CCUGGGAGCAGGUGGGCUGAGGCCGAAAAGGGUGUCAGUGGAGGGCGGUGGGAUAGGAGUUGGUUUUAUAGGUUUGGGGUGGGCAGUGGAAAAUUACAGAAGUUAC